rnacentral:lncRNA from 1 species
AGAGCCCCGGUGUGAGGGAGUGCGGGACCGCGGGGAGCAGAGCCCCGGUGUGAGGGAGUGCGGGACCGCGGGGAGCAGAGCCCCGGUGUGAGGGAGUGCGGGACCGCGGGGAGCAGAGCCCCGGUGUGAGGGAGUGCGGGACCGCGGGGAGCAGAGCCCCGGUGCGAGGGAGUGCGGGACCGCGUCUGCAGAGCCCCGGUGUGAGGGAGUGCGGGACCGCGGGGAGCAGAGCCCCGGUGCGAGGGAGUGCGGAACCGCGGGCUGCCGAGCCCCGCUGCUUGCGGGCCGUCCUCCCAUCCCUGCUGCUCCACGGGCCCCGCGCCGCCUGCUCUUACAGCUCCCCGUGCUUCUGCCCUGCUGCCGAGGCUGCUUUCUGUGGUUAUCCCGUCAUAGCCAAGCAGGGUGGGUUAGAAUCACAGAAAUGUGGGAUGGUUGGUACUGGAAGGGACUUUAAAGCCCAUCCAGUCCCACCCCCUGCCAUGUGCAGGACACCUCCCACUAUCGCAAGGAGCUCCAAUGUCCAACCUGGCCUUGGACGCUGCCAGGGAUGGGGCAGCCGCUGCUUCUCUGGGCACCCUGUGCCAGGCCUCGAAGAGAAGAAUUUGUUGCUAAUAUCGCAUUUAAAUGCAUCCUUUGUAGGUUAAUGGCAGUGGGGAGCGAGGAGAGUAAAGCUGGACCCAGCCUGUCCGUGUGGUGACUGCCCAAAGGCUGCUUUGGGAGCAGAGGGUUCAUCAGCUGCUUUCGAGGAGCAAGGCUGUGCUUGGCUGUAGCCAAAAUAAACCAGCUCACCAGCUGCCCUACGGCCAGUGAUGUCUGGAUAUGUAACAUAAACAUUGCUUUGGAGGUCCUGCAGUAACGGUGGUGUUAGGUGCAGUUCAAACAUGUUAUAUUGUGGAGUUUUUAUCGUUUCUGUCUUUCUCUGGUUUUACCUCUUUUUUUUUUUUUUUAAUGCUUCAAAAAGCAGUGCCUCCUCUAGAGAGUCUGGGAUUUGCUUUGCAAUUGGGGUGUCCUCAUAAUAUUGGUCCUGGGGUGUUAUCCCUAAAAAAAACCCCUGGGAUUAGCUACUUUGUGCUUCAGUUUGUUCAUUUUAGAGACAAUAGUAAUUAACUUGCAGGGAUAUUGUGGAGGCAGGUUAAAGCAUAUGUUGCCAGGGAACAGCUUGGUCAUUACAGACUGAAAUAAAAUAGAAGGCAAGUAGAAAUGCAAAAAUGCAAAGUCGUUGUUUUAUGAGUUUUUGAGUUGAAUCUUUGAGGUAGUAGGAGCACUUUAAACAGAAUGCUCUGGGUAAUGUAUUUUAGAGGCAAGAAAAAGCUCACUAAAGUUCACUGGUUGGAUAUUGCAGUUCUGGAGGCCAGAACAGAAAUGCUUGAGGCAGAAUAACGUGGAUUUUCUGUGCUAAGUUACAUAUGGAAUUUGGCUUAUCUUUGUACAGAGGUUGUUUUGUUAAAACAAAAAUAUCAUACUGCUAACUGUGGAAUAUUGGCUCUGUCUGUAUAUUUUGCACGUUUUAUCACCAAGCAGUGUAUUUAAUGCAUCUGAGGCUUGGGCUGUGCUGGGCAGCUGCUUGUCAGAGGCUGGUUUACUGGGGGGAAAUUUGUACUGGGAUACAGCUUGGACCUUUGGCCAACAGUUUAUUCCUGGAGGCACCUGCUCGUGCUCCCUCUCUGGAUGCUGGGUGGGUGGAUGGAUGCUUCAGUCACCUAAGGCAGCUCCAAUCUUGGGCACAUUUUGAAUUAAUAACCUUUUAAAAUCCCAAGUGUGCUUGGGUUGUUGGUUGUGUUUAAAGGGGGAAAUUAUUCAAGCAAAUUUGGUUUCAAAAUAACUUCAGAAUUUAGGAUAUUGGUUGAUGCUGCAGGUUUUGUUCUUGUGACAAGAAAAGCUGUAGGAACCUCAGUUCUGUGUGUUAUUAGUAAGAUACUUCUGCUUCAGAGCCCUCACAUCUGUCUUGGGUUGGUUUUGUUUGGGUUUUCCCUCAUUUAUCUGCUUUGUUCAUGGGGAGGUUUCUGGGCUCUGAGGUUUGUGCCAGUAUUUUCUCGUUCCUCACAACACACAGAGUUAGUUACUGACAUGUCUGUGAAGCAGCUCUUUGUUCUGCAAACAACCCCGAGUCACAGAGGCUGCUCCGGAUGGCCCAGCCCAGGGACAGCACCAGCAGAGCUCCAAUCCUGGCCCCCACACCGGGACACAGCUUUGGGAGGGGGCUGCAUCUCCAGGGCAUCCGUGGGGAGAUGGAAGCAGAGACCUGGAGCUGGGGAGAGCAGGGGGAAGGAGGGGACAGGAGCAGCCAGGCACCAUGGAUUACAUUCAUCCUGAUUCUGCUGGCAGCUGGGAAAAGGCUGAAGUAAGGUGGUUGUGGAGCUUUCCCUUCUUUUCCUGGAAAUGCAAUCAAAGCCAGGGCACUCCUUCAGGCUUGGAUUGAUUCAGCAAGGCUGUACCAUGCCCCAUUUUCAGUUUCCAUGCAGGCACCUCCCUCCUAAACCUGAAUGAAACGUGACUGUCUGUGCCUGGGCUUGGAGGGCACGGUGUCCUUUUGGAGGAGUUUUUUCAGGGACUGAACCUUUGCAGGUGCCUUGAACGUUGCCACUUGCCCUCCCAGAGAUAACCAGUCAGCUGAGUGCCAGGCUGAGCUGCCAGGCUGGCUCCAAGGAAAGAUAAAGUCCAGUUAAUGCCAAGCUGGAUUGGUUCUGCCUCUUGGCAAGGACAGUUUGACCAGGAAAGCACCAUGGAGGAGGCAGCAUCUCCUGCCAGCUCUCAGGAGGAGUUCAGAGCACUCACCUGGGGGCAAAGGACAAGGAGCUCUUGGGCAGGGCAUGGUUCAUUUUAGCAAGGAAACACUGCAGCCUCGGGAUUCUUAUCUGCUGAGCUUUCCUGUGUCUUGAGCUCGAUAAGACUUUUGAAAGCUCAUAUUUGCAUUUAAAUGCACAGGUGGUAAGAGGUAGUGUGUGUUGUCAGGUGGGAAGAAAUCUCCUAGUGACCCACCAGGUGUGAAGUGCAAAUGGAACUCUGGUUUAGUUCAAGCCUUACUUCUCUGUUCAAGGUUUGUGAGAGCUCAGAGCAUGAUUUUACCUAAAGCUGUUAAAUUUGUUUCCUUUAAAGGGAAAAUACACACUUCAGUGUUUGUAUUUUGACUGAUGUAGUGGGCAGUGAUCUGUCACUGAGAGUUGGAAAUGCUGAUUUUGGUUCUAGUUCUCUACCUGACUUGCCAGUUUUUUAAACGGAUCAUUCUUAAUGUUUUCUCAGCUUCUUUCCAUUUUCUCAGCUGGAAAUGGGGAUUAACUAGGCUUUGAAAAUGUCUCACCUGGCAGGCAGGGAUGUAAGUGUUAAGAAGAUGACUUAAAACCGAGUUUCAGUUUCUCUGUUGAGAUCAAUUUUAUUAGAUACACUAUGAAUUCAUAGUAGGAAUUUCUUGUGCUUUCUAAAGGUUACAGUAUAUUGAAAUGCUCCCAAAAUUGGUGAGGGAGCUCUUCCCCUUCAGGCAAAACAGGUGGAUUUUGAAAUUCUCAGAUGGAUAUAUCUUAAUUUCUGAUUGUGAAUUUGAAAAUGCUUUUAAAAAUCUUCACCUCAGCUGCUAAUGAUAUAUUGGUGCUUACAGUUGUUUGAAUGAAUACAUUUUACUAGGGAAAUACAGUAUUUUUAACAGUCAUGAAAACACUAGAGGUUUUGUAUAAUCAUAGGUCAUUGUUUCCCAAAAGGUCUGAGCCUCUCACUGGUGUUGGUGCACCCAAAGCUGAGUGAUAUUUGAAUCUUAGGCUGGGGCUGUUCUCUCAGCUAAUUAGCAAAAGUUGUUUUAUACCUUGAAAGGAGUUACUUUGAUAAGACAGGGUUAAUAAUUUUUAAUUCUGUAGUUUGAUUUAACACAGAAGGAGCCAACAUAUUGGGGCAGAGGUGAGUGUGAUUUAAGUGUUGAGAGGGAUUUAACAUCAUGUGAAUCAGAGUGAGGGCAGCUGGCAGGUGUAGUAAGGAAUGGAAACACACUGAAAAGGUUUCCCAGUUCAACUUCUCCUUUUUUUUCUCCCCUAAAGUUUUCUGCUUCCUGUUUAGGUGCUGGAUGUUUGACAGUGUACCCACUGUCAGUUUUCCCACAGCUUCUUUAAGGAAUAAAAUUAGUGUUAUCUGAUAGUGUGGGGUUUAUUUUAGAAAUGGGAUGUUUUCUACUCUACGUUGCCUUAGUUUCAUUUACAGUCAUUUAGAAUUGCUUUAGAUAGCAGAGGUAUCUCCUGGACAAGAGCAAGAAAAAGCUGCUUUUGGAAGAUGCUCUUUAAAGUCACCUUUGAAUAUUUAACCCAUUUCCUUUUGAAAAGGUGUCCAGUAAAGUGACAACCUGGAAGAAUGACAGAUCUUUCCCCUAAGCCUGUCUACAGCAAAAGGCUGUUUAAAGGGAUCUGGGGAUUUGGGCUCCAGGCAGGACCUGGUUGGGCAGAUUCUUGUGGAA